GGGUGCAGUAUGUCGCUCACCCGAAUUUUUCACGCAACUUUUGCUAAAUAGAGCUAGUUCUAGUUUGUGAUUCAUUUUGAUACUUCAGAUUUGGGUAGUAGACCAAAAUAACUUAGUCGUCAGUGUGGUUUUAAGCAGGAAAAACGUAUUUGUUUUUCUCAAAGUGCCUUUUUUGGACAGGUGUGUGCGAUUGUUAUUCACAAUGUGAUCUUAUUUCUGUUCCUGAAAAGUUGUUUUCAGUGUAUUUUGGUCGACAUUUUGACAAUUAUAUUUAGCAAUAUUUCGAUAAAUGCGGACCUGCUUCUUCCUCUUUUCGUAGUGACGGUGUUUCGAUAACUCAGUUAGACUUCGAGAUCUACAUUUUCGACAAAGUCCUGGUGUAAUAUUACGUACUUGAUGAAGGUUUAAUGACACGAAUGAGUACAAGUACAUUACAUUUUUCGACGAAGGCCUUCUGUAAUUUCAUACGCUUCUUACGCAACAUUCAAUAGAUUUAUUUACUGUAUUAUCAUUUCGACCAAGGCGAAUUCGACACUUCAAUUACACAAGCACAAUCAAACUUAGUCAUUCCAGUCAGUUACUGAAGCACAGCGAAAACUGUCUGAAUUAGUGCUGCUGAUGGCAUGUAAUUACUCUACUACCACUACCAGUGACAGUCAAUGUCCAUAUAUUUUCAAGUGUGCGAAAUUAUUACUCGUCUACUUCUUAGUGUUAUUUGAAUGCAAUGUAUGUUAUAAAAAUAUUUUUUCAACACUAUAUCAACAUUCUCAUUCCUGUCAGUUUCUGAAAAUCAGCUAAAGCAAUCGCUACCAAUGCAGCUGAUAACAGCAAUUCUUUUUGUUCCCAAUGCCCAUCCAUGACAAUAUAUUUCACGCAUGUGACAAUCAUGUAAUCAUCCUGUUUUUUGUGUUCUAUUCAUGCAAUAAAUAAAUUCAGUAUUUUCAAAUCAUUGGUGCUACAAAACUAUUCUCAUUAUAGAUUAUUCAUAUUUUAUAAAAUGCUGUCAUGUCAAAUUUUGUGUCCUAUAAAUCAUUAUGAAGUCGGCAUUUUAUAUACAACUUUUGUACUCCUCCUAAAUAAACAUACAAAUCUUGUUUUAUGUAAACUUUGUAUAUGUGACCCGUCACAGCAAAACCAGGCGCAUGUCGCUCUGAGCUUGGCAGGUUGAGACGGACUGUUUGUUCAUUUAUCUAUUGUCUGCCUUUUGUAAAAUAUGAGCACAUCAAUUUCUUCCAUUAUCUCCUGGUGUCAUUUAGGCUCAUCUUCUGUGCGACAUGUACCUGGUUUUGCUGUGACGGGUCACAUAUUCUAUAGAUAUACAACACUCUAAUGUCACAAUGCCUCUCUCACUCGCUUUUAUAUAGCAAGAUGUAUGAAUAAACAUGACACACCAACUAUGUACAAAAUUGCUAACAAACUGCACCAUUUGUCAGUACACCACAUGAAAUACAGAGAUAUGUCUUAAUUCUAAUCUUUCAUUAGCGACACCAUUUCUUACCCGAGUGCCUCCUUCAUUCAUACAUCUUGUACUUUAACUCAAGAUACCCAUCUUUGAAUAUUUUUAGUGGCUCUAGGAAAAUUCGUCCCCGGAAAAUUCGUCCCCGGAAAACUCGUCCCCGGAAAAUUCGUCCCCUAGGAAAAUUCGUCCCCGGAUAAUUCGUCCCCGAGGAUAAUUCGUCCCUGGAGAAUUCGUCCCCGAGGAUAAUUCGUCCCUGGAAAAUUCGUCCCCGAGGAAUAUUUUGUCCC